AGUUUAUUAUUUUUAUUUUUUGUAGAGACCGUGUCUCCCUAUGUCGCCCAGGAAAAGGAAACUAUUAAUAAGCUUGGACGAAUAUGCUUCAACUCUAGAAUUCUGAAAAAAAUCAAAACUAAAAACUUCUGAAGCUCUAUUUGAAAUCUCUCUUCAAAUUGAGUUCUAAAGUUCCUGUUGCUUCAGACAAUGGAUGAGCAAUCACAAGGAAUGCAAGGGCCACCUGUUCCUCAGUUCCAACCACAGGCAGAGGAGAAGGAGAAAGAGAAGGAGUUUCUUGCUGUCUCAUGGAAGGGAGAAGUAGAAGAAAAUCUACAUAUAAGUGGAUCUGCACAGUUCAAACUUGUGUUGUUCAAGAGUCAAUUGUAUAAACGAGUAAUUAAAAGCCUGUGUGAUCCAGGACCCAA
rnacentral:sRNA from 1 species